rnacentral:rRNA from 1 species
GUGGGGAAUCUUGCGCAAUGGGCGAAAGCCUGACGCAGCCAUGCCGCGUGAAUGAUGAAGGUCUUAGGAUUGUAAAAUUCUUUCACCGGGGACGAUAAUGACGGUACCCGGAGAAGAAGCUCCGGCUAACUUCGUGCCAGCAGCCGCGGUAAUACGAAGGGGGCUAGCGUUGCUCGGAAUUACUGGGCGUAAAGGGCGCGUAGGUGGACAGCUUAGUCAGAGGUGAAAGCCCCGGGCUCAACCUUGGAAUUGCCUUUGAUACUGGCUGUCUUGAGUUUGGGAGAGGUGAGUGGAACUCCGAGUGUAGAGGUGAAAUUCGUAGAUAUUCGGAAGAACACCAGUGGCGAAGGCGACUCACUGGCCCAAUACUGACGCUGAGGCGCGAAAGCGUGGGGAGCAAACAGGAUUAGAUACCCGAGUAGUCC